rnacentral:rRNA from 1 species
UACGUAGGCAGCGAGCGUUGUUCGGAGUUACUGGGCGUAAAGCGUGCGUAGGCGGUUUUGUAAGUUGGUGUGAAAUCUCCCGGCUCAACUGGGAGGGUGCGCCGAAAACUGCAAGGCUGGAGUGUGGGAGAGGUAGGCGGAAUUCCUGGCGUAGCGGUGAAAUGCGUAGAUAUCAGGAGGAACACCUGUGGUGUAGACGGCUUACUGGACCAUGACUGACGCUGAGGCACGAAAGCGUGGGGAGCAAACAGG